AUUGAACGCUGGCGGCAGGCCUAACACAUGCAAGUCGAGCGGAGCGGCGGACGGGUGAGUAAUGCCUAGGAAUCUGCAUGGUAGUGGGGGAGAACGUUCGGAAACGGGCGCUAAUACCGAAAACUAUUAGAUGCACCUAGGUCGGGUUAGCUAGUGGGUGGGGUAAAGGCCUACCAAGGCGACGAUCCGUAACUGGUCUGAGAGGAUGAUCAGUCACACUGGAACUGGGACACGGUCCAGACUCCUACGGGAGGAAGCAGUGGGGAAUAUUGGACAAUGGGCGAAAGCCUGAUCCAGCCAUGCCGCGUGUGUGAAGAAGGUCUUCGGGUUGUAAAGCACUUUAAGUUGGGAGGCGUUACCAACAGAAUAAGCACCGGCUAACUUCGUGCCAGCCGCCGCGGUAAUUC
rnacentral:rRNA from 1 species